AUGAACAGCCAUGUCACCCUGCAGCCCAAGACCGGUUACUCACUGAAGCUAAGCAGGGCUGAGCCUGGUCAGUAUCUGGAUGGGAGACCACUAGGAACGCUAGGUUGCUGUUGGAA
rnacentral:rRNA from 1 species